rnacentral:rRNA from 1 species
AGCAGCCGCGGUAAUUCCAGCUCCAAUAGCGUAUAUUAAAGUUGUUGCAGUUAAAAAGCUCGUAGUUGAAUUUCGGGGUCAAUAAGUUGGUCAUGCCAAUGGUAUGCACUGGCUUUAUUGAUUCCUACCUCUUGACGAACUGUGAUGCCAUUAAUUUGGUGUUGCAAGGAAUCAGGACUGUUACCUUGAAAAAAUUAGAGUGCUUAAAGCAAGCUUACGCUUGAAUACAUUAGCAUGGAAUAAUGAAAUAGGACGCUUGAUCCUAUUUUGUUGGUUUCUAGGAUCGACGUAAUGAUUAAUAGGGAUAGUUGGGGGCAUUAGUAUUCAAUUGUCAGAGGUGAAAUUCUUGGAUUUUAUUGAAGACUAACUACUGCGAAAGCAUUUGCCAAGGAUGUUUUCAUUAAUCAAGAACGAAAGUUAGGGGAUCGAAGACGAUCAGAUACCGUCGUAGUCUUAACCAUAAACUAUGCCGACUAGGGAUCGGAUGAUGUUAAUUUUUAAUGUACU